CCACGGGUGGCUGCAGUGAGGAAUAUUGGUCAAUGGGCGCGAGCCUGAACCAGCCAAGUCGCGUGAGGGAGGACGGCCCUACGGGUUGUAAACCUCUUUUGCCGGGGAGCAACGGGCGCCACGUGUGGCGUCACUGAGAGUACCCGGAGAAAAAGCAUCGGCUAACUCCGUGCCAGCAGCCGCGGUAAUACGGAGGAUGCGAGCGUUAUCCGGAUUUAUUGGGUUUAAAGGGUGCGUAGGCGGGUUAUCAAGUCAGCGGUAAAAUCGUGGAGCUCAACUCCAUCCAGCCGUUGAAACUGAUGAUCUUGAGUGGGCGAGAAGUAUGCGGAAUGCGUGGUGUAGCGGUGAAAUGCAUAGAUAUCACGCAGAACUCCGAUUGCGAAGGCAGCAUACCGGCGCCCGACUGACGCUGAAGCACGAAAGCGUGGGUAUCGAACAGGAUUAGAUACCCUAGUAGUC
rnacentral:rRNA from 1 species